rnacentral:rRNA from 1 species
UACGGAGGGUGCAAGCGUUAUCCGGAUUCACUGGGUUUAAAGGGUGCGUAGGUGGGCUAGUAAGUCCGUGGUGAAAUCUCCGAGCUUAACUCGGAAACUGCCGUGGAUACUAUUAGUCUUGAAUAUCGUGGAGGUAAGCGGAAUAUGUCAUGUAGCGGUGAAAUGCUUAGAUAUGACAUAGAGCACCGAUAGCGGAGGCAGCUUACUACGCGAUUAUUGACACUGAGGCACGAAAGCGUGGGGAUCAAACAGG